rnacentral:rRNA from 1 species
CAUCGCCUCUUGAGAAUCAUAAGAGGUCCAGCCUGCCCAGUGACAUUGUUCAACGGCCGCGGUAUCCUAACCGUGCGAAGGUAGCGUAAUCACUUGUUCUUUAAAUGAGGACUAGUAUGAAAGGCACCACGAGAGUUAUACUGUCUCCUAUCUCUGAUCAGUGAAACUAAUCUCCCCGUGAAGAAGCGGGGAUUUUUAUAUAAGACGAGAAGACCCUAUGGAGCUUUAAAUAACGAUAACAUUUGCUACUUACCUUUACUUUCCAGAAAAUUAACCCUUACUCCAGCAUUAUGAUUAUUAAUUUUAGGUUGGGGUGACCGCGGAGCACAAAACAACCUCCGUAUUGAAAUAGAACCUAAACUCUAAGCAAAAAGUCACAACUUUAUGCAUCAAAAAAUUGACAUCAAUUGACCCAAUAUAUUGACCAA